rnacentral:lncRNA from 1 species
UUGGCUAUCUAGUUAUCAUAUUUAGCAAAAUUAUCUGUUGAGUGUUGGAAUAAAUGUUUUAGAUAUUUAAUCAAACUGCAGAGUAUUUUCGGAUCGACCAUAUGCUAAACAAUCGAUCGAUCCGUAAAAAAAUGGUCGAUCUCCUUAGCCAGGUAAGUACAAUUUUAGCAAAAAUAUCUUUGAUUUUUAAAUAUUAAGUAUAUAACUAUUCUUUUGAAUAUUGUUUUUUUGAAUUGUAUUUUCUGAUUAAGUCAUUGUAUUAUAAUGUUUAUGUAAAUAUUUUUUUGUGAU